rnacentral:rRNA from 1 species
GAUCAUGGCUCAGGAUGAACGCUGGCGGCGUGCCUAACACAUGCAAGUCGAACGAACCUUGGGGAACAGAUUACUUCGGUUUGAAGUUCCCCGCUGGUUAGUGGCGGACGGGUGAGUAACGCGUGGGUAACCUGCCGUAUGCAGGGGGAUAACAGUUAGAAAUGACUGCUAAUACCGCAUAAGCGCACAGUAUCGCAUGAUACAGUGUGAAAAACGAUAGUGGCAUACGAUGGACCCGCGUCUGAUUAGCUAGUUGGCGGGGUAACGGCCCACCAAGGCGACGAUCAGUAGCCGGCCUGAGAGGGUGAACGGCCACAUUGGAACUGAGACACGGUCCAAACUCCUACGGGAGGCAGCAGUGGGGGAUAUUGCACAAUGGGGGAAACCCUGAUGCAGCGACGCCGCGUGAGUGAAGAAGUAUUUCGGUAUGUAAAGCUCUAUCAGCAGGAAAGAUAAUGACGGUACCUGACUAAGAAGCACCGGCUAAAUACGUG